CGCCCUACGGGAGGCAGCAGUGGGGAAUCUUGCACAAUGGGCGAAAGCCUGAUGCAGCGACGCCGCGUGGGCGAAGAAGGCCUUUGGGCCGUAAAGCCCUGUCGGGAGGGAAGAAGGAAGCGACGGUACCUCCCAAGGAAGCCCCGGCUAACUACGUGCCAGCAGCCGCGGUAAUACGUAGGGGGCAAGCGUUAUCCGGAUUUACUGGGUGUAAAGGGGGCGCAGACGGCGAUGCAAGCCAGGAGUGAAAGCCCGGGGCCCAACCCCGGGACUGCUCUUGGAACUGCGUGGCUGGAGUGCCGGAG
rnacentral:rRNA from 1 species